rnacentral:rRNA from 1 species
UACGAAGGGGGCUAGCGUUGCUCGGAAUCACUGGGCGUAAAGCGCACGUAGGCGGAUUGCUAAGUCAGGGGUGAAAUCCUGGAGCUCAACUCCAGAACUGCCUUUGAUACUGGCGAUCUCGAGUCCGGGAGAGGUGAGUGGAACUGCGAGUGUAGAGGUGAAAUGCGCAGAUAUCAGGAAGAACACCAAUGGCGAAGGCAGCUCUCUGGGACGGUACUGACGCUGAGACGCGAAAGCGUGGGGAGCGAACAGG